GCUCUACAAACAUUGGGAUCAUUACAGAUAAUUCCUGUAUCAGAUAUAAUGGAUCCCGUCCUGCGAGAUCACUGUCGCCUUCCUUUCUUUAUAACGACGCAGAAUGUGCACUAUACUAAUGGCUUUUAUAGGAAUUGGUUUAAUAUCACAGAUCUGCUUCAAACAUGCUAAUGAUUCACAUAGUCACAAUGAUUUAAUCAGAUUUUUACAUUUUACUGCUUUGCUACAAUAAUAAAUAGAUUGUUUAUUCCUGUUGAUUACGGUAGGUAGAUUAAGGUGGGAUUAAGAGGGUUUCGUGUUGCAUCCUUUCCCAUUAUUCACAUAUAUGGGUAGUAUAUAGCACCCCGUAUGGUGUAAUCCUAAAAUAAGUUCUCCUCCUCUCAGCUCACUUGCACACAUCUCAUCUGUGCUGUACGGUAAUAAGGAAAUCGUGUGUUUGGUACUCUGUGUGUUUCUUAUAUAUUUUACCAUGGAAGUCGGUGUACAGCACUAACCUCCACCAGGCAGCUCAGAGUGGAUUCUUCCUGAAUCCUGUGUCGUUUGUCAUUUAAUCAAAAACUAACCCAAGGUAAAAGGAAUGGCACAGACCUGACCCAUAACUCCAGUUAUGUAGAACAAGAAAGCUGUUAUUUCAGUUUAAAUCACUGUAUGAGCUUUUUCCCACCCCCCUUUUUACUGGUCGUUUCCCAGGUGGUUUUGAUCCCAGUUCAAGAGAUCCUCGUGAUCCCCCAGAACUCUGGGGUUUUAGAUCCAUCAUCAAAUCUAACAAUAUUUAAAAAACAAGCGAGUGAUCCUAGUUUCUGAAUAACGUGACCAUGCAAAUUAUACUGGACUUGUGUUAACAAGGUUUCUAAAUCCCUUACCACAACUCAGGUUUGAAAUCCCUGUAUUUGUUUUGCUCAAAAAAUUCUCUAGUAAUGAUUAAUGGAGGACCUUAAAAAAGCUGCUCCAGUAUAAUGGAAUUGCAAGAUAAUGUAAUACACUAUUAUUCUCCAUUUAGAUCACAGCACUUAAUAAAUGUCAGUAUCAGUUAUAAAUGUCCUUAAAGAUCCUCUUCUGACAAGGUAUAUCACUCAUUCUGUCUUAACAGGAUCACAGAGCUUCGGAUGGUAAAUAAGAACAACAUUACUUAUUGCCAUUUGUUACAAACUAUCAUUUACAUAGAAUUAUACUAUUUCAUAUCGUGUUCCCCGAAACCAAGAUUUGAGAGCUGGGGGUGUGAGUAACACAAGUAAAAUAUGAAAUAAACUAUCAGUAAAUAUAAUUACAAAUCUAAAAUGCAUACAGCCAAAUAACCAUUUUUCAAAAGUAAAAAAACAUAUUUGCAGAGGUUUUCCUAGUUUACUAUAAAUCUGAGUUUAUUUUGAUAUGUAUUAGUUAAUCAUAUAAUUAAAGUGAAUGUGUACAUUUUACUUGUUUUUAUUUGUUUUGGGUGAAAUCAUCUAAAUAUCGGUGUUCCUUUGCUGUAAAGAUUUAUGGUUUUUAAAUUCUAAAUAAAAUCUUUUAG